rnacentral:ncRNA from 1 species
CAUUGGUAAGAAUCCAAUGCCCCGAAAACCCAAGGUUUCCUCCGCAAGGUUCAUCCACGGAGGGUGAGUCAGGGCCUAAGAUCAGGCCGAAAGGCGUAGUCGAUGGACAAUAGGUGAAUAUUCUUGUACUACCCCUUGUUGGUCUCGAGGGACGGAGGAGGCUAGGUUAGCCGAAAGAUGUUUAUCGGUUUAAGGACGCAAGGUGCCCCUACUUUUUCAGGGUAAGAAGGGG